rnacentral:ncRNA from 22 species
AUCGGUAUGGGUGAUGGCGUCCACCUUCAACCGCCGCUAAGGCUGAUGACGCCUGUUCUCAG